ACCCCAAAAACAACUCAAACAACAUACAAAGGCACAAAGGGUCCCUAAACCCUCACAUGCACAACUCAUGCAAAAACUCAUGCAUAACUCCCUUCUCCCUCCAUAAAACUUGCUUAAAACAUCAUAAAACAUAAGGAUCAACACAUACCUCGUGAAGAACAAAGGCUGGUGUGAUCCCAAACUUGAAGAUAUGGAGAUCCAAGCUCCAAAAGUCUCCAAGCUCCACCUCCUUGUUCCAAGCUCACAACUCUUGAAUUCAAGGAGAAAACUCAUGAAAACCUUGAAAGAUUUGAAGAGAAACCAUGAAAUCAACCCAAGGAAAGCAUGAACUCACCUUAGCCCAAAAGAGAGAGAAACCUCCUCUUUUUCCAGAGCAAGGAGCCCUUUAUAGGUGGUCAACCGCCCCUCCUUC
rnacentral:lncRNA from 1 species